GGUAAUUUAUAAAUAAUGAUAAUCAUAUGAGGACCAAUGGUUGUUUUCUCAUACAUUUAUAUCUCUGCAUUCUUUUUAGUCAGGCCAAACACGCUUCAAAGUUUAAUGUUCGUUCAACUCUUAGCAGGCUUCACACAGGAAGACACUAAUGAGAUAUGUCUAUUAUUGUUAAAGCAUGAUGCCUUACGACUCUAUUCUCUUGUUCCUUAUGAAUAUUUAAUUAGUAGUAUUUAAAGACAGGAUCUCUAGCUAGUCCCCUGGAAUGGAAUGAACUGUGUCACCCAAGUUGGCCUUGAACUCCCAGGUUCUCUUUCUGGCAUUCAAGAGCUGAGAUUACAGGCUUGAGCCACCAUGCCCAGCUGUUAUUAUUCUUAAUUGUGGCUUGAGAUGUCAUUGAAGUUCUUCCAAGUUUCCAUGUUUGUUUCCAAACUGACUUUCUAGCUUUCCGUAAAAAACAAAACAAAACAAAAAAAAAACUUAAGAAAAUUAUCUUAGAACAUGAAAUAAUUGAAGAAGAGUUGCUUGUGUAUUUAUUUAUGAAGAAACUAUGCCAUAGUGUAAAGCAAUGGGCUGGGAUUGGCUCAGCAUCAUAGCCUUUGAGAACUGAAAAAGACAGCUACAGUAUACUCGUGUAAAUAAAAUAAAUAGAUCUUUAAAAAAAGAACCUUUUAAUAUAACCCCUUUAAUAUAUGUUCUGAUGAGAACACUGAGCCUGUAGAAGUUUUGAGUGUUUCCUGGGCUCAUUGGUGGGUCAUUGGCAGCAUGAGCACUCAACCUCACAGUGCUCAUGUAUCCUAUUUUAAAUACCAGCUCACUCAUCUUCUCCUAACAUGCUCACACUCUCAGAGUGGACAUCCUGUCUGCCAUUCUAAUCCCAACACUGCUAGGCUCAAUCAUUUCAGUUAAAAUGGAACACCUAUAAUGAGACCUCAGACUGAAAUGAACACAGGGAAGAAGGAGUCCAUUAGUCUUGCUUUCUCCUGUCCUGUGUGCAGUACACACACUGAAGCCAUGACAGACAAUUAAUUGGCCAGGCUCCACCCCCUUUAAUUCUAUUUUGGUUUGGGACCUAAGUGAGGCCACUUCAUCUAAGCCUAGAUUCUCAAGCCUGCUAAGAAGACACCUUUGAAAUAAAACUAUCUUUUUUUUUCUUUUUUUUUAUUACGUAUUUUCUUCAAUUACAUUUCCAAUGCUAUCCCAAAAUGAGCAUAUUUCAUUGAAAAAAUUAGUGAUCAGAAACAAAUACAUUUUAAGUAUUCUGUGAUGGAAGCCAUUUUCUUGUCCCCUCCCUGUUUUUUUUUUUUUUUAAGUCUUAAGAACAUAAUAUUUUCGCAGUGUUUUCGUUCAGGAAAACUUGUUGAAGCCCUGUCCGUAUCUUACAGAUGCUAAAGGGGAUCUAAGAAAGGGAAAGCAAUUACUAAAUCGGUUUGCUCCUGGAAAGAGUGUUCCUCACAUUAUUGGAGGUCCCAGGUCUCUUUGAAAGUGUUGAGACCUCUCUCGAGAUUCAUGUGCAUGUUGCUGUAAAUACUUAGAUGUAGUUUCAGGGCAUUCCCAGGUCGUUCUCCUAUUUCCUGCAUACAGAGACAGAGCAAGUCAGCACACAGCCUUUGUGCUCAAAGAGGGAAUUCAACUGAGGAUAGAGAUAAAUCUUUCAGCUCCUUAAUGGCCUGGCUAAAUUUGGGAGACAGUUCCCAUUCCAGAGCACUUGACUGUAGGUUUUGAGUAUCUGUGGUAUGUGCUAUGUCAGUGAGCCUCAUAUUCUUGACCCUCCAAUGACCCUCUUUUUCACUAGAGGUCACAGCUGUAGGAAGCUUCGAUCCCCACCCCUGUCAUAAGGGCUUUUUGGAACAGCAGAAACGGACUAGGUUGCAUUGAUGACGUAGCAGGAGACUAGAGGAAGGAGAGAAAUUAUGAAGGGGGAUAGAAUAAAGAUUGAUGACAGAGUAGGGCAGAAGCCAUCUGGGAUGGACUGUGCAGGGAACCUGAUAUUUGGCCAACUCAGGAGGGCCUGGGGUUUCUUGUUUCUACCAAUUUUACAUUCUUACACAGUGGGCUAUAUUUUCUACGAUGUUCAGUCUCUCUGGGUUUCCUCCCCACUGCCAGCUCCCUGAGGAUCUAGACUUCCUCCUUCAGUAAAUCGUGAAUUCAAAAGAUUUUAGUUUUGAAUU
rnacentral:lncRNA from 1 species